GGCAGCAGCUAAGAAUAUUCCGCAAUGGUCGAAAGACUGACGGAGCGACGCCGCGUGAACGAUGAAGGCCGUGAGGUUGUAAAGUUCUUUUCUAGAGGGAGAAUAAGGCUUAUAGGGAAUGAUGAGCUGAUGACAUGAAUCUAGGAAUAAGCCCCGGCUAACUACGUGCCAGCAGCCGCGGUAACACGUAGGGGGCGAGCGUUGUUCGGAAUUAUUGGGCGUAAAGGGCGCGCAGGCGGCUGAGCAAGUCUGCUGUAAAAUGGUUGAGCUUAACUCAAUCAAGCGGUGGAAACUACUUAGCUAGAGUUAAUGAGGGGAUGUUGGAAUUCCAAGUGUAGGGGUGAAAUCUGUAGAUAUUUGGAAGAACACCGAUAGCGAAGGCAGACAUCUGGUGCUUAACUGACGCUGAGGCGCGAAGGUGCGGGGAGCAAGCAGGUUUAGAUAUCCUGGUAGUCCGCACAGUAAACGAUGUGCACUAGGUGGCGGGUAGAAGUAUUCGGUACCGUAGCAAACGCGUUAAGUGCACCGCCUGGGGAGUAUGCUCGCAAGGGUGAAACUCAAAGGAAUUGACGG
rnacentral:rRNA from 1 species